rnacentral:rRNA from 1 species
CCUACGGGUGACAGCAGUGAGGAAUAUUGGUCAAUGGACGAUAGUCUGAACCAGCCAAGUAGCGUGAAGGAUGACUGCCCUAUGGGUUGUAAACUUCUUUUAUAUGGGAAUAAAGCGUAGCAUGUGUAGUAUUUUGUAUGUACCAUAUGAAUAAGGAUCGGCUAACUCCGUGCCAGCAGCCGCGGUAAUACGGAGGAUCCGAGCGUUAUCCGGAUUUAUUGGGUUUAAAGGGAGCGUAGGUGGAUUGUUAAGUCAGUUGUGAAAGUUUGCGGCUCAACCGUAAAAUUGCAGUUGAAACUGGCAGUCGUGAGUACAGUAGAGGUAGGCGGAAUUCGUGGUGUAGCGGUGAAAUGCUUAGAUAUCACGAAGAACUCCGAUUGCGAAGGCAGUUCACUGGACUGUAACUGACACUGAGGCUCGAAAGUGUGGGUAUCAAACAGGAUUAGAUACCCGAGUAGUC